rnacentral:lncRNA from 1 species
AGUUCAGCGAAGUAUGAGUCACGUGAUCAUCCACCAGCUGAGAGGAUCUGUGGGUUAUAUGAGACAAUCCCCUUCCGCCCCAAACAGGAAAGGUUAGAAUCCUGAGAACUGUUUGGAAUAAGGAAUCCAAAUAUUGUCUUCCAGCUUCACCUUGUCACGACAGUCCUCGCCAGGGACAGCUGAGCAUCUACAUCUCCAUUUAUGCCGUGUGCACGCAGUACCAACAGAGGUCAGAGGAGGGUGUCGGAUCCCCUGGAACUGGAGUCACAGAUUCUUCCUUGCGUGGAUGAAACAGUCCCAACGAACACUUUAAAAAGACAAAUGUUCCCGACAGCACUGGUUGAAUUCAAAACUCGGCAGAUCCAUGUUCUUAUCCUUAGACAAGAGAGGGGCCAUAACAAGAUGGAAUGACGGAACAGACGUGAGAGAUGAUGGUACAGUGACUCGGGUAACCCCAGAAAAGGGACAGCUCUUCUACAGCUCAGUGGGGACAGGGACAAAAAGAAACAAUUUCAUUUCAGUCCACCCAGAGGGUCUGCACUUCUCGGAGCCAGAAGGUGGAGAAGAGUAGGGAUGGAGGAAGUUCGAAGUUUUAGGAGUCUGCUCUUGGGUCCCUAGGCAUGAGGACAAGCUUUUCCUGUACUCAAUGCUCAUCUCUCAGUUGUGCCCACAUUGGUACACAUUACUUGCUUUCAACUGCUGCUGCUGCUGUUUCCUAAUUCAAUAAAGAUAUGGCUGGCUCAGCAGAGAGCUGUCAUCCA